UGAAGGACGGACUCCCGUACUGUCUCCUAAAACCCACACAGCUCGCCUGGAGCUUCAAAUGUGAGAACACAUUCCAGUUGCAGGAUCAGAGGACUUUUCCUACAGCACUUAGACACAGAACUGUGACUGUCCUGCUGGAGAGGGAGGCCACAAGCAGGGGCCCUGGAGGAUGAGGAGCCACAUGGAGAGUGAGGCCGCAGAGAGGAGUGCAGAGGUUCUGGACAUGUGAGUGAAGGUGCCACCUUGGACAUUCCAACCCCGUCAAGGCUCCAAGGACACCAGACCCAUCCAUCGUGUGAUAACAGCCAACAAGAGCCCCCGG
rnacentral:lncRNA from 1 species